rnacentral:rRNA from 1 species
GAGUUAGGCUCACAAGGGAGAAGGUUACCGCCUGGANGGGNCCGCCCAAUGGAAUGAACGGCCCUNCUCCUACGGAGCAGCAGGGGGAAAUUGCCAAUGGGGAAACCUUAUGAAGGAGNCNGGUGAGGAAGACGCCUUGGGUUGUAACCUCUUCAGCAGGAAAAGGGAAGGGACGUACCNCAGAGAAGGCCCGCUAAUUACGGGCAGCAGCGGGGUAAUAGUAGGGGGGAGGUUGUCGGAAUAAUGGCGUAAGAGUUGUAGGCGCUUGUCANUCGGUUGAAAGCCGGGGUUAACCCGGGUUUGCUUCGAUAGGGCAGCUAGAUUUCGUAGGGAAAUGGAAUUCCGGGGUAGCGGGAAAUNGCAGAUUCGGGGGACCACCNGGGGAAGGGGAUCUUGGGCCGAUAUGGACGCNAGGANGAAAGCNGGGGGGGACCAGGAUUNNUACCUUGGNGUCCANCGGUAACCNGGGGAAUUAGGUUGGGGGCCUUUCCAGUUGGUCGGUCCGGCAGUUAAGCCAUAAAGUGCCCCCCCGGGGGAGUAGGCCGCAAAGGUUAAAAUUAAAGGAAAUGAGGGGGGCCGGCCCAAGCGGGGGAGCAUGGGCUAAUUUGGAGGCAACGGGAGGACCCUUACCAGGGCUGGCCAUCCCCCGGAAACGUUAGGAGACAGGCCCCCCCUGGUGGUCGGGGUCCAGGUGGGCCAUGGCGGUGUUCAGUUGGGGUCUUGGGAGGUGGGGUUAAUUCCGGCAAGGAGGGCAACCCUGUCCCCGGGUGCCCAGCUGGCCCUCGUGGUGAUGGGGACUCACAGGAGACCGCCGGGGUCAACUCGGAGGAAGGUGGGGACGACGUCAAGUCAUCAUGCCCCUUAUGUCUUGGGCUGCACACGUGCUACAAUGGCCGGUACAAUGAGCUGCGAAACCGCGAGGUGGAGCGAAUCUCAAAAAGCCGGUCUCAGUUCGGAUUGGGGUCUGCAACUCGACCCCAUGAAGUCGGAGUCGCUAGUAAUCGCAGAUCAGCAUUGCUGCGGUGAAUACGUUCCCGGGCCUUGUACACACCGCCCGUCACGUCACGAAAGUCGGUAACA